GAUGAACGCUGGCGGCGUGCUUAACACAUGCAAGUCGAACGAUGAAGCACAGCUUGCUGGGUGGAUUAGUGGCGAACGGGUGAGUAACACGUGAGUAACCUGCCCUUAACUCUGGGAUAAGCCUGGGCAACUGGGUCUAAUACCGGAUAGGAGCGUCCACCGCAUGGUGGGUGUUGGAAAGAUUUAUCGGUUUUGGAUGGACUUGCGGCCUAUCAGCUUGUUGGUGGGGUAAUGGUUCACUAAGGCGACGACGGGUAGCCGGCCUGAGAGGGUGACCGGCCACACGGGGACUGAGACACGGCGCAGACUGCUACGGGAGGCAGCAGUGGGGAAUAUUGCACAAUGGGCGCAAGCCUGAUGCAGCGACGCCGCGUGAGGGAUGACGGCCUUCGGGUAGUAAACCUCUUUCAGUAGGGAAGAAGCGAAAGUGACGGUACCUGCAGAAGAAGCACCGGCUAACUACGUG
rnacentral:rRNA from 1 species